ACGGGGAGCAGCAGGCGCGAAACCUUUACACUGCACGGAAGUGCGAUAAGGGGACCCCGAGUGCGAGGGCAUACAGUCCUCGCUUUUCACGACCGUAAGGUGGUCGUGGAAUAAGAGCUGGGCAAGACCGGUGCCAGCCGCCGCGGUAAUACCGGCAGCUCGAGUGAUGGCCGCUAUUAUUGGGCCUAAAGCGUCCGUAGCCGGCCGUGCAAGUCCGUCGGGAAAUCCAUCGGCUUAACCGAUGGGCGUCCGGCGGAAACUGCGCGGCUUGGGGCCGGAAGACCUGAGGGGUACGUCCGGGGUAGGAGUGAAAUCCCGUAAUCUCGGGCGGACCGCCGGUGGCGAAAGCGCCUCAGGAGGACGGACCCGACGGUCAGGGACGAAAGCUAGGGUCUCGAACCGGAUUAGAUACCCGGGUAGUCCUAGCCGUAAACGAUGCCCGCUAGGUGUGGCACCGACUACGAGUCGGUGCUGUGCCGUAGUGAAGACGUGAAGCGGGCCGCCUGGGAAGUACGUCCGCAAGGAUGAAACUCAAAGGAAUUGACGG
rnacentral:rRNA from 1 species